rnacentral:rRNA from 1 species
GACAGGAGGGUGCAAACGUUGUUCGGAAUUACUGGGCGUAAAGCGCGUGUAGGCUGCUUGGCAAGUCGGAUGUGAAAGCCCUGGGCUCAACCCAGGAAGUGCAUUCGAAACUGCCGAGCUGGAGUCCUGGAGAGGAAGGCGGAAUUCUCGGUGUAGAGGUGAAAUCGUAGAUAUCGAGAGGAACACCGGUGGCGAAGGCGGCCUUCUGGGACAGUGACUGACGCUGAGACGCGAAAGCGUGGGGAGCAAACAGG